rnacentral:lncRNA from 1 species
AAAUAAGACCCCUAACUUUACUAUUAAGCUCUGGGCAAGAGCUUCAAACAAUAUUAUCAUCGCGAGCAUGGAAUCAAAAAGCGAUAACAUUAAAACGAUCCAUACGACGUAAGUAUCGCUAUAUCGUCUCUCUUUUUCUUUGUAGUUUGAGUUUUGGAAGAUACUUCAUAGUUAAUAAAACGUGUACUUUCUGUAUUUAAGUGUUUAAAUAUCAAGGAAGGUUGAUAAAUUCGUUUCCUAAUAGUUAGAAGUCACGGGACGGUGAACGAAAGCCGUGAGUUCGGGUUAUUCACUUGUAGCGGACUGUUUUGUGGAUUAUUUUCUGUUGCUUUUGGGCUGCGUAUUUUACUACUGUUUUGUGGAGUUUUGAAGGAGUACGGUUGUGAAGAAACACCACAUAAAUGCAGGGUAGUGGGCUGGUCGUUUGUCGUAAUAUUUUCGGGCCGUUUGACACUACUAUGGUGGUCGUUUUGUGUAUGAAGAGAUUGGGGUGUGUUGGGCUGUUUUGUAGUAUUUUAUGGUGUAUAUAAGGUUGAAAAAUAAUGUAUACAUGUUGAUAUUGUUGUGUUUGGUGUUAUCUUUAAUUUGAAGGAAGUAAGAAUUAUAGGGGAGAUGCUGCCCGUUUUAAUACAAAAUAAGCUUGUCGUUCGUUGUGCGAUAGUUGUACCUUUCGUAACUUAAUGAUAGUAUUAUUAUUGUUGUUUUAGAUUAAGGUACGAAGAGGAGAGUUCAACUUGGUGAUUGGAAAGAUUGUGAUAAGGUAUGUUAAGGCUAUCCAUUCUUUCCUUUUUGGCAUGAUCCAUAUGAUGCAAGAAAUGAGCAAGUACGCAACUUUCACAAAUAAUUCUAUUCCUAGAAGUACUAGGGUUGCCUAUGUUCUUGAUUUCCCAUAUGUCCUCCUAUCAUAUCGUCUGUUCAUGGGUCUUAUGAUAUUUUGAGAGAUCUUAUAGAUUUACUUCCUUAUGCAUUGCAUUCAUUUAUACAUGUAUAUUGACCCAUGACCACAUGGCGUUAUAUACGCGUAUAUUAUAUGUAUAUGGAAUAUGGAAAAGGUUAUGGCGUUAUAUACUCACCACCACCUGAUCAGCUGGUAUACAUUGAUGAUUUCGCCCACAGUGGCUGAGAUGAUAUGAUGGGAUGCCCUCAGAGGCUUGAUGAUAUUAUAUACGCAUAUGCUUAUGCAUGGUAUAACAUUUAUAUACACAUGCAUGACAUUAUAAAUAUUUUCAUGAUUCACAGAGCUAUUCAGACUCUCAGGUUAAGUUCCUUACUCCAUAUUUCUUUCAUGCCUUUCAUACUCGGUACUUUAUUUGUAUUGACGUCACUUUUACCUGGGGAUGCUGCGUUUCAUGCCCGCAGGGCCCGAUAGAGAGGUUGAGAGUUCUCCUAGUAGGCUAUCAACUCAACAGAAGGUGUUUGUGCACUUCACUUGCUCCGGAGUUGCCUAUUUGGUCAGUAUGAUUUGAAUUUGUAUUGAUUGGUAUGACGGGGCUUUGUCCCGACCUUUAUGACAUUUAUGUACUCUUAGAGGCUUGUAGACAGAUGACAUGUAUAUGGAUACUUGUAUGGCCUUAUCGGCCUAUGUCUUGAGUAUACAAAUGAUUAUGUCGGCCUUAUAGGCUCGUAUGUCACAUGUAUAAGUUUCUAUAUCAUGUUGGGUCGUCUUAUGUCUAGUAUUCCCUUAUGUUGUAUUCUAGUUAUCUCAUGACGGCCUUUCUAGUUCAUUUACCCAUGAUAGUAUGAUA